rnacentral:sRNA from 2 species
CCUUGUUGGGGAGUAGCCUGCUCCUGACCCUUGGUCAUGAGCGUUCGCGUCAACAUUCUCGGCAGCAGCCGUGGCGUGAACACCUUCUGGUUGGCGAGACCAACGAUGCAACCAUGCCUGGAGUCGGGCGUGUGGUUGCGUCGUUGACUCAUAGCCCGACUGGAUAGAA